rnacentral:lncRNA from 1 species
UUUGCAAUCAUUGAGAGUUUCUUGUAGCCUGUUCUCAAUUUUUGCUUCCAAGGCUUCAAAUUGUGAUUUCAUAGAAUUAUCAGUAAUCAUUCCAUAUGAUUGUAGAUCUACAAUUCCUAAGUUUCGUUUUUGUUAUUUCGGGUCGAGCAUGAGCACUACUUGGCGUUGAAGGUGAAAUCGUCGUUAGCGACGCAAGCGUCGAGGCCUGUGACGAUGUGGGAGAGGAGAAUGAGGGAACGUCGAAGAAACGCAGCAAGAACUUUGGGAACCCGUUGGCGGUGUGGCCGUCAGGGCCUAUGGCGACGUCAAAGAGGAGAUUAAGGGAACGCCAAGGAAACACUGCAAGAACUUUACGAACACUGCUCUAAUACCAAAUGAUAAAACUCUAGGAAUUUAUCUAAGAAAAUAGAUAGGGAUUUGAUCACUUCAAGAGGAUCAACCUCCAACUGGCCAAAGGCUUUGAGUUGUAUUUAAUUGCUUGAGAAAAAUAGCUAAAGACAUUAUAUAUAUAUAUAUAUAUAUAUAUAUAUAUAUAUAUAUAUGUAUAUAUAUAUAUAAAAUCCUUAAUCAACUAGGACUAUGAUUUCUAAUAAAGGAAAUAAAUAAAAAUAGCAAUCCUUAAUUGGCUAUAUCAAAGGACUCCUACCAUAAUUAGGAAAACUCAAAACUAAAUAAGAAUAGAAAAAUAAAGACUAAUAUCAAAUCCUUAAAAUUAAGGAAUCCUAAUAAGGAGCUGGACUAGGCACUAGGCUGAAUAGGUAAAUUACAUGAUCAUAAUCAAACAUGGACAACUUAAAUGCAAAUCCACAUAGUAAUGCUACUACUUGCAAUUUUAUAGUUUCCUAAUGACAUAAAUCUAAUGCAUACAGCUCCAACCAAUAUGAGGUCUAGGUGGGCCAAUAUGCACGACCUUAUCCUCAAAAGAAAAGAGGUUGUCUCCCUGACUUAAAUGCUCGGCGAUCAGGUUGCGAAGGAGAAAUUUCAUGAUACCAUCAAGGUUUUCCUCUGGUUUUGUUUUUACUAAUUUCUCCAAAUUUGUCAUUAAGAAUGACUGACAUAAAUAAACAUACGAGAUAUAAGUUUCUAGCUUGCUACACAAUUUAAUAAAGACCAGAUAUUUUCAAUACUAUAUUGAUGGUAGGUUAUUAAAGAUUGGCAUUCUCAAAUCACCUGCACCAUUGGAAAUUCCGGUGAAGUAUAUGUCCAGCAAUAUUUGUCAUCAAGAGAUGAUUGAUGUCCUGCACACUCAUUUGUGAUAGAAGUACUUUUUCCAUGUGCUGAUCUGGAAUAGCCCAUCCGAAAACGUACAGAUUUGGCAGAGUAGAUGGGAUGACCAUACUGAAAAAAUGCUGAAUAAAAAGGCCAAUUAAACAUAAUCGCUGAGAAAGAACAUUGACAAUAGGAAAUGUCACAAAGACAAACCUCUGAAUGGCUGUAUCUUUAUCUCCUCGACGAUACAGAUAUUUGCAACCAGCCUGUACGUCAGACUCUCCGGUACUCCAGGAUUUCUCUGUCCCCCACUCGACCAAUAAGAAGGCCUACGGUCCACCAUUUCACUGGGUUCUAAAGUAUUCUCAAUGCUCUCAUCUGGAAAAUUAUCGGUGCUGGAAGCACAGAUCGCCUGAUUAAUGCAGUCUCUUUUACCUUUAGGUGAACCAAGACAAUGACCUAAGUACAGAUACACUCGGUGUUCUCUCCCCAGGUUUUCCAAUUCAGCAACAGCACUAGAUCCUACUUCUGUAGUCUUGGAACUGCUACUUACUUCAGCAACGCGAGCAAAAUUUGACACCUCAGGAAAAAUCCUUAAGCAUAAACUUUUGCCAAAACUAUUUGCAAUAACUGCAAUAUAUGUUGAACUGCUGCUUCAGAAUUAAAUAUGAAUAUAAAAUUCUAUCACAUAAGACCAUGAUUCUCAGUACUAAAUGUGCAGUGUUGCAAAUAAAGUAGUUAUGGAAAACAAUUAUUGACUGUGCAUUACAAAUUAAGGUAAUUACAGAAAACAAUGUCAACUUUAUUGAGUGAAAAAAUAACAUAGAACAUGUUUGCUUAAGGUCCUAGUCAAGACUUUUAAAUCUAGAUCCAUGUAAAAAAGGGCUUCAAGUCAAUUUGGAUUGUAUUUUUCACACUAUCAAGUGGGAUAAAGGAAAAUUUUCAGACCUGACAGAGAGUUUUGGCUAGGAGACUUUAGUCCUACAGAAACAUAUAGUAAUAUGUUACUGGUCAAAACUUUCACAAAAAUAAUUAAAUCCAACCAUUUAACAAAAUUGCUAUUAUCCCAUUUUCACAAGAUAAAAAUUUUAGUGUAUUAGGGCAAGUCCAACAUAAGUUGCCAUGUGUUGGCCACACAUUAGCAAAAAGUUGAAUGCUUGAUGCUUUAUUGAAUGGGUUAUUGUAGGCCACCAAGCCAUUGUUACCUAACUUCUGUCUCUAUCCUUCUCCCCUCUCUUAUCCUGCAGACAUAAACCUCUUCUCCUGAUUUUCCUUGUAACUCUGCAGCUAGCAUACAGUUGUUAUUGUUUCAACUACACAUAGUUUGUAGUAGAAGACCCACUCUUGCUAGAACUAGCUCCUUACUUAGGGUGCACUAAGCUGUCCACAAGUGAGCCAUCUGCAAGCCUUUUUGUAGGGGACUUGUGAUUUAAAAUGCCACAUAUUGCAUUGACAAAUUAGGUUGCAAGCCAAAAUUAAAUUUCGAUACCCCUUCCCCAUCAUGUUGCCUCCUUACAUGUUGUCUCCAUCUCAUCCUCUUAACUUAACCUGCACAGUCACUGGUGCCUCCUUCCUUUCAAGCACCGAUCUACAUCUUCUCCGUCUUAGUUGAAACUUCAAAACAAUUAUAUACCAUGCGGAUCCAAAUGGCUGUGUCUGCAACUAUCAAUUAUAUCAUCUGCUCUUCUCUGUAACUGCUACUUCCAGCCAUUUCUAAUUGCAAGCCCCACUUUGUGAAACCACAAGAAUCCUAUCAUCAAGUGUUACAUUUCUUCAAUAAUUUGGGUGCCUUAUUAUCCUUUUAGUCUCAAAAUCUAACAGUCUAGUUAAAUGGAGAAGAAUCACCGUUAUGAUGCCUUAGACCACUAUUACCUGAAGAAGAAGAAAAAAAAUAUUUUCUAGAUAACGUGAUCUCCUAUCACUUAUUUACAUAAUUACACUUAGUAAAGUGAUUACAAUAAAAUAUUUGCUUCCUAAGCUACGAAGACAUAUCGAUCAUAUAUCAAAAGUCAUCUUUGAGAAACUUCUCGAACUUGAGGUGUUCAGCGAGCACCCUGAGGUGAUAAUAUCCGGCCAUUCUUUUGCCUGUAAAUUUUGAACUACUUCUAGGUCAGAGAAAACCUCAAUUGAACAAAAUGAUCAAAAUUAACGAACGAAAUAACAUCACUACGUCUUCCCCAUCCAUCACCUUCCAACAAACAACAAUCAUGAUCGAUUCUAUUGGCGGCACAGAAAACGGCGACUCACCAAACUGGCGCCAGGAUUGGGACACGGCGCUGACCCGCACGAGAUCAGCCGGAUCAUCCAGGAGCAUGAGAACCGCCGUGGAGGCGUCCGGUCCCAGCCAUUCCAAGAAAUCCCAGCGACCCUCCAUCGCGAACGACCAGCUCCCCGCGACUCAACCCAAUCGUACCCAAAAGGACGAAUUGGAGAGAAGGGCGAGGAAUUUUACCGGGAGAUGGCGUUGAAGCAGAUCCAGGGAGAGGGACGAGCGGCGAGGGAGGAGAAGCCCUACACCGGAGCGAGAGAUCAUGAAUCCUCGAGAGAUCGCG